rnacentral:rRNA from 2 species
AUUGAACGCUGGCGGCAGGCCUAACACAUGCAAGUCGAGCGGCAGCGGGAAAGUAGCUUGCUACUUUUGCCGGCGAGCGGCGGACGGGUGAGUAAUGCCUGGGGAUCUGCCCAGUCGAGGGGGAUAACUACUGGAAACGGUAGCUAAUACCGCAUACGCCCUACGGGGGAAAGCAGGGGACCUUCGGGCCUUGCGCGAUUGGAUGAACCCAGGUGGGAUUAGCUAGUUGGUGAGGUAACGGCUCACCAAGGCGACGAUCCCUAGCUGGUCUGAGAGGAUGAUCAGCCACACUGGAACUGAGACACGGUCCAGACUCCUACGGGAGGCAGCAGUGGGGAAUAUUGCACAAUGGGGGAAACCCUGAUGCAGCCAUGCCGCGUGUGUGAAGAAGGCCUUCGGGUUGUAAAGCACUUUCAGCGAGGAGGAAAGGUUGGUAGCUAAUAUCUGCCAGCUGUGACGUACUCGCAG